CGCUCCCGUCAGCGUCCACGACAGCUUGUCCGACGACAUUGCAGCCGUCUUCUAAAUUUUGAACGUAAUGAGUAGCAGUAAAAUUCCUUCUGGUGGCAGAAGAUGCGAGAUGUGGAUGUAGUACGAGACCCUUCAGUGCCUGACGAGUGGAAAGGUUACCCUCAUAAAAAACGUCAUGCCAGACUGAUCAUUAAUCCUCCACUAUCUAAAGGAGAUGCCUGCUGACUACAGCCAGUGCAGAGAAGAGAGCAGAAAACCACAGUAUUUUAAGAGCAAAGCCAUCAUGGUAACACUUCACAUAUUGACGUCUGCACAUAAAUUCAAUCACUCAGUGCAUCAGUGAAAACUGGAUUAGGUUUUCCUAAAUCGCAGAUAAAUCCGCCACUCAUUGCAAUAUGGUUCAGCUCCAGCCUGUUGCUUACUAUCUGCUUACUUACUGUACACUGACAGUCUGUUUUAAUCUAAACCCAAGAGCCUAGCAAACAAGUGGAUUUUCAAUA